UAUAAGCAACUGUGAACAGCCUAUAAUUUUAGUUGGUGUAUUUAAUCCACAACACAUUGGCUUCACCUGGAGCAGGUCAGAGAUGGCUCCAGCAAUGAGGAGGGCUGAGGAAAUCGACUUCAUGACAAGCUCCCCGGAUUGCUGCACAAUACAUCACCAGGAAUGGCCGUUCUGGACCUGCAGUGGGAAUGCACCUGCUCUGCUGUCAGAGAGAAUUCCUUUUCUCAGCUGUUCUGGCCCCCAAUCAAAAUACCUUUCUUUCCCCCAAAACCCAAGACUUGGUGCAAAUUCCUGUAAAGAUGGUGUUUAGAUGGUCCUUGUCAGAUCUUCCCCAAAUUGCCCUCCAAGGUG